rnacentral:rRNA from 1 species
GAUGAACGCUGGCGGCGUGCUUAACACAUGCAAGUCGAACGAUGAAGCCCAGCUUGCUGGUAGGUGUAUUAGGUGGACGGGUAACGGGUGAACGUAACCGUACGGUAGGUAACGUUAACCGUCCGACCCUAGUAGGACGACGGUUAGGGUUAAGGGUAAGGGUAGGGUAAAAACGGUUAAAACCUACCUACGGUAGGGGAACCGGGAAACCCCGAAACCGGGAGGGGCCCUUAAAAAACGGGUUUAAAAGGUAGGUACGGUUCGGGGUAGGGGGACGAACGGAAACGGCCAACCAACGGGGAAGGGGUAAGUAGG